UAGUCCACGCCGUAAACGAUGAUUACUCGCUGUAGGCGAUACACAGUCUGUGGCUAAGCGAAAGUUUUAAGUGACCCACCUGGGGAGUACGUUCGCAAGAAUGAAACUCAAAGGAAUUGACGGGGGCCCGCACAAGCGGUGGAGCAUGUGGUUUAAUUCGAUGAUACGCGAGGAACCUUACCAGGGCUUAAAUGUAGAUUGACAGGACUAGAGAUAGUUUUUUCUUCGGACAAUUUACAAGGUGCUGCAUGGUUGUCGUCAGCUCGUGCCGUGAGGUGUCAGGUUAAGUCCUAUAACGAGCGCAACCCCUGUUGUUAGUUGCCAGCGAGUCAUGUCGGGAACUCUAACAAGACUGCCAGUGCAAACUGUGAGGAAGGUGGGGAUGACGUCAAAUCAUCACGGCCCUUACGUCCUGGGCUACACACGUGCUACAAUGGUAGGGACAGAGAGCAGCCACUGGGCGACCAGGAGCGAAUCUAUAAACCCUAUCACAGUUCGGAUC
rnacentral:rRNA from 1 species